rnacentral:lncRNA from 1 species
CUAUUUGGGAUUCUCUCUCUCUCCCUCUCUCGCUGCCCUUCCUCUGCUCUCUCUCUCCCUCUCUCUCUCUCUCAAGUAAAUAACUAAACAUUUAAAAAGCAAGAAAUUCAUGACAGCAGAAUUGAAGGCAGUAUGGGUCACUGCCUACCACUCGCAUGGGUUGUAACUUUCACAGUUGAAGGAUAGAAAUCAGUGAACAGGGAUGGACACCUUGGGAGCAGGUCCUCGCUGGGACAGAAAGAGCUGAAAUCCAUCUUCCUUUCUCGUCUUUCCUUCCCUGUGUUUUUCCUCUUCCCUUCCUUCCCUCUCUUCCUUCCAAAGAGUUCUUGUUUAUAUCCCUCUCAAGAUCUGAAGACUGUUUGCCUUUAGUUCUUGUGAAAAUCAUAAGGAGCCUGGAAUAUAAGCAUAUUUAUAAAUAUUGAGAAUGAUUGUGGCUAUUACAUUAUAUUCCUAAUUAGGUGCAUUUUUUAUUAUUUUUUUAAAUCACGUAUACUUUUUUUUUUUUUAAGCGGGGCCCUGUCCUGCUUACUCUGCCUAUGUCUUCUCCCUGAGAAAACAAGUUCAGCCCAAACUUCCGUGUAAAGCUCAGAUGGAAUUCCUAAAAAACUGAGAAGAAACUGGAGGUAAGGGGUCUGCAGGGGGCAGGGCAGCACAUCCUGUAAUGUCCCUCCGACAGGGACAGAACCCAGAAGCCCAGAAAGGUCUGCAUGGGAAGUUGAAAUUUGAAAAAGCAGAACAAAAACAGAAAUCCAAUGUGAUUUGAUCACAUUGUGUUUCAGGAUGCCUAUGCAAAGAAAGCCAGGUGUAUGUGCAAGAGAAACUAUAGGGAACUCCUUUUGUGUCCUCGGGACCAAAGUCUGCUGGCCGAGGAAGGAGCUUUUCUUUCGGUUCAGUGCCAUGCACUGGUGGAGUUUUUCUCCAGGUUCCUUGGCUUCUAAGGCCACUUGCACAAUAAAAAAAUAUAUAUGUAUUUAUCUAGAAAAAUAUUCUCUGGCUCCUUUCUGCUACAUAGAGGGCAAUAUAGAGUGAAUAACAGCUACUUUGGCCCUUUUUGAGCAAACGGAGUAAGAAUUUCAGCUUUUAUUUUUGUUCCUCUUAAACCCAAUGAAAAGGUGCUCUGCCUUUCAGGAGCCAUUUUUACAAUUCAUUGGCAGUGCUGGGUGAAUUAAAGCCGGUCCUGUGCCUACACGUUUUAGGUGAGGUUGGGGGUCUGUCAUGAUAAAAUCACUUUAAAUUGACCUUUUUCCUUCUUUUUUUUCUCUCUUCAGGUCCAGCUUGCAUAGCAAUGUAGCCAGACCUCAGCCUCAUCACAUUAUGGGUAAAUGGUUUGGUUGUGGCACAGGAUCGUUUUGACUUCAGAAAAGCAGUAGUCAGUGUGUAGAAGGGGGGAGGAGCUCUUUAUUGAGAAGAUCAAAAGGGACUUAAAGGCAAAAACUGACUUUCACUGCAACAGGACUGAGGACCAGGCCUCCAGUGUCCUUAUUGUAAUUCAUUGCUUGUUUCUAGGCCCCAUGAUAGAAUUCUUCCAUAACAGACAGAGGACUUUGUGAAAUUGUAAAUGAGUAUGACUUCAAGCACUCUGUGGAAAUAUAUUCUCCCCCUAUAGCCCAUACAUUAUUUCUGCUUAGUUAUGGUGGCUCACAUUUCCCGUAACUAUCAGAGAGAACUUAAUUCAACUCACACCACAUCACUUUAAAAUUGUGCAGCUCUCUUAAUCAACCUUUGUAUCAGCCACAAAUGUGCAGUAUGACCUAAUUUGAAAAUGUCUCAAAGUGCUGACUCAAACUGUUAGUGAAUAAAGGCUAGUCAUUACCAUUAUGACACUAAUGUGAUGCAAUAUAAAAUUGAGGGGCAUCAGCUGAACAUUAGUUUGCAAAAAUAUUAGUGAUUGAAGCCAUUUUCUGUUCAUAUUUUAUUUAUACUUACAUGUAUGUAUAUAUACAUACAUAUGCAUAUAUUUAUUUUUUGUUUUUCUGAAGCAGCCUUGCAACACAAUUUUCAAGUAUAGAGGAAGGAAGCCACGUUUUUAACACGGACAAAGCCGCUAGAUUAAAGGUAGAUCAUGUGUACAUCAUGAGCUCCCCUCUAUAAGAUGAAGACAGAUCAUUGCUGAAUUCUUAUUUGAAUAUUUAUAUACAUAUAAGCAUUAACAUAUGAAAAUUAUCUUCUUCCCUGUACUUUGGAGCCAGAUUCUAAGAUUUCCAACAGCUCUGGUCCUACUUAUUCCUUACUACUUUGUAUCACUCACAAAUUCUCUGACUUUUAUGUUUUGUAAUAACAAGGACUCGAAUUGGUUCCUUUUAUGGACUCUCUUUCCCAUUCCUUUACUUGACCAAAAAAAAUUGAGAUAGAAAUACUCUUAAUAAAUAUUGUCAUUAAUUACUUUUGAACAAAAUAAAGUAGGAUACAGGGCUGGAAAUUAUUUAGCCUCACCCCUCUUGAUAAUACUUUAAGGAAGGCAACCUAAACUAUCUCUUUUCUUCUACCGUUUAGCUGGUUUUAAAGAAAAGUCCAUGUGCUUAUUUAAUACUUAAACAUCCUAGAGCUAGUAUUGGUUUCAGUCUGUAAACUGAUCAUUAGUAGUUGAAAAGAAAUCAGCACGAAUCUUUCCUAAGUUAGAGAAAUUGUCCCAGCGAUCACUCAGAAGGUCCACUCUGCAUCCCAGUUUGGGUCUCUUGAAUUCUGAAAAAUCUGAGCAGAAAGUUAUGCGUUAGUGAUCAAGUACUCCUGAUUUUAUUCAUUUAACAGUGAGAAUAAGCCAACCACAUAAACACAAAGGAGAUAGGUUAUUCUUUAAAAUUUUCAAGGAUAAGGAGUUUUGGCUAUCAAGAAAUUAUUUAACCUGGUAGAGUGGCGAAACACACACUCUCUUCGUAAUAUAUCACUACCAGCAAUUGGUAGAAAAUACAACUAAAUUAGAAGGCUGACAAGCUUAGUUUAUCCACUUUUUAGAAAAACAGGUCAAGCCUUCAAGCAAGAUGUGUAGAAAUUCGCUACUAUGUGAUGACUUUAGUAUUUCAGUCCUUUUUACAUUAUGUAAUAUGUGGUUUGGGCUGUUUUUAUGACCUAUGUUUUAUUUCCACAUUAAGAUAAUCCAGAUUUUAAAAAAGUAAGUUUGAAAGAUCUCAAAGCAGACUUGCCAAAACCAGCAUUCAGAAGCGCGGGUGCUUCCAAGCACACACACACACACACACACACACACACACACGCAGGCACACUUUCAAUUUACCUAAAAAGGAGGAGCGCCUUUUUUUUUUUUUUAAACUAAAAUACAAUUGUUCUUACUUUUAGGUUCCAGGGGAAAAAGGGAUGUGGGUGUGAUCGCUGUAAAUGGAUUGCCAGCCUCUUAACAGUUCAUCAUUCUUAAAUGAUAGAAGUAGAGCAGUACCCUCUGAGAAAAAUCUUUCCUGUGGAUUUGACUUUGUCCACGCUAGGACAAAUUGCGUGCAAAGUUGGAAUAAUUCUGAGAUGUAAGACACCUCCAUGACUGUCCUUGGCAUACUGAGGAGCUGACAGUCCUCUCUGGAAGAUGAGGCGAGAAUGGCCCCUGCCCUCUUAAUUGAUGAUUUACUGUGCUCUCCCCUGGGGCCACAACUGAUGAUCUGUAAGCUUGUUGAAUUUUGAAGCAAAUACUAAAUAUAAUCAAUAUAUAAAAAUAAAAAAAAGAGAGAGAAAAAAUGCAAUGAAAAUUUAUGACCUUAACAUUCCUUCAGGGUCAAGCAAUUUAUCAAAUUCUCUCACUUUCUGGUUUCAAUUACACAGCCAUUGUGGAAGGAACUUAUUUUAGCAGGUUCAUUUGCCUCAGUGGGGAAUACAGGACUUUGGCCUAAUGCUUCACCUUUAGUGCAGGCCAUUUGAGCCUUAGAACAAAUACCAAUCAUCACUCUUUGGGAAAAAAGAAUCUGCAUCGGCGUGGCCUAUUGGAAUGGGGUUUCUGUCAAGGUAAACGGUUGUCGGCAAUGACUGUGGUAGAGUGGCGAUAAAUCCCAUUUUAUUGCUGAAAAAUUCCAGCUUCUCUCCAUGCCUGACAGCUCCCCACAUUCUCAUACCCAUUUGGGCAAUUUCUGUGCUAUGUCCAUCUGGUUCUCAUUACCUCUCAACCUGCCUGCGUCUGAUCCAGAAAAAGUGCAGGUCAGAAACAAGGGAAAAGAACUGAGGUGAUGGACAAAACAGAAAGCAGGGGGGUGGCCCUUGGGGGUCGGGGUGGAGGUGAGAGAACAACAGAGAAGUGGGGAUCCCAGCUUAGCCUUAGACCAGUUGCUGUAAGGGGCCAUUUAGAUACAUUACAGAAUGAUAAUGACGGAGUCCCAGUCAGGAGGCCAGAGGAACCUGUAUUUUUAAAUUCAGGUUUUUAAAAAGCACCUGUUUUAAGGUGGUGGAGGGAGAGAGGAUGUGGUGCGUGGACAGGGCAGAUUAAGAGAAGCAGAGAAGCAGGCCCAUGGGCUCUACCAAGGGCACUGUGUCGUGGAGUGGAGGACCUAGUCUAGAAGGAAAAAAAGCAUCAAGGAGCUUGGAUCGCCAUACUCACAGUUGGCAUGCUUCUAAAUAUGGGGAUAAAAUCCUGCUGAAGAUUCAAUUUUUGUUCAAGAGUAUAAUUUUUUGAAGAAGGAAACUCCAGGGCCUUCUAUGGCGUUGUCUCCCUUCAUUUUUUUUUUAUGAGAAAAUUAAUAUUUAGAUUGAUUGUCCUCCUCACUGCCUUUAGGAUAGAGUCAUUCAUGGAAUGACAGGACUAGCACUGAGUCACUUGGGUAUUGAUAACCCUACACACAAUCACUUUCAGAAUUGCUGUGCCUUUAUGCUUUCAGAAAGUUGGCCUCAUUCUCUGAAGCUCAAGUCCUGUUGAUCAUAAUUGCUUCUGACUUAAAAUUACCUAUAGUCACCAUAAGAUGCCUCCUGGGGACAAAAGAGAAAUAAAUACCGUAAAUAUCUGACAAUAGGUAUUAACAAUAAACCCACUUAAAGAUUAACUGACAUUAGACUAAGACGAAGCUGCAUAUCUAUAUAUGAAUAAAUAUAAAAUGUAAUUAUUGUGCUGGGAUAAUUAUAAUUAAUACUAAAAUAAAAUUUAUGGCCAGUAUACUGAAGUAUAAAUGAUGAAGAGCUGCGAACUUUUAAUCAAGGAAAAAUAGAAUUAGCUGAAUGGUGAGAUGGAUUGUAGUUAUUUCACCACCUGUUCCAAAAGCAAAUUCUACAUGCAAAUAUUUUAAAACCAAAUUGGUGGUGUUUUCUGAAACACGUUGGAAAGUUAUGGCUAUGGGUUGAAGACCGUCUACUGUGCUAGGUGUGUUUGGACAGACAAUACCUCUUAGGCACCUUCUGCAUCUCAGAGGUGCAGGGUACAUUCCAGGUCCUCAAAAUGCACUUUCUGGAUAGUAAGACCCCUAAGUGUGGCCAUGAAUAAUCUCGGUUUUAUUGGCUGAAUUCUAAUAUCAAAAUUACAUUAAAAUUUUAGUGGCUGAGCUGGACCUUAUAGACCAGAAACACUGGCUUCCAAAAUUUGAGAUUUAAUUUCUAAAAUUUUAAGCCAUGCAUGCUCAGAAGAAAGUCUAUAAAAUGUACCCGAAGUUGGAAGUGAACGCCACGUGGGACAUUUAAGUGGAGAAAGAGAUUGUUUUUAAACAAGAUUUAAAAUUCAAGUAACUGGCUAAUUUGGUCUGAAGUCAAUUACAGGUGAUCAAAGAUGGAAGUUUGUUAUUUGGCAGCUUUCAAAUGAAUAGCUUUAGUCAACAAAUACAAUUCGAAAACAUUUUCAUGUGUACGUAUUGAAAGGCAUAAACCUUUGGCUAGUACCAUGUAGCCAUUGAAAUGGCCAUAACAAACGGCACCUUUAAUUUGCCAAGUAAUUUCAGAUUCUUAGUCAAAAAGAAUCUCUCUUGCUUGAACUUUACUUCUCUGGACUGUACAUAUAUCAGAGAUGUGAUCAUUGAAACUCUAAAAGAUUAUUUGUUUCUUUUAGUAGCAUAGCAGAAAAUUAAUGGCGUGGGGGAGGGGGAAGUGACAACUUAAGUUGAUGCUUGAUAGCUGUUUACUUAUAAAUGUGUGUCCAGAUUUCAGUGUCCUGUAAAAGAAAGGGAAAAUAAAGAAACCAAAGCAUUCAUGUGGCUUUUAUGCAACUUAGGACACAUGGAAGAAAGUGCUUAGAAGGCUAGUGAAAUAUUUACUAAACAAAUCAUUUACAUUAAACUUUUGUAUAUGCAAAACCCAGAGCACCUACAAAAAGAGAAACAACUUUAGCCAUAAGGAAUAUUUCGGCAUCAAAAUGGUUAAUAGUAUUAUAGCUUCAAAAGAGCCUAUUGGCUCACCCUCAAGGAUGCCCUGCAGUUGUUGUGAAAGUCAUCAGAUGAAGCUAGCCUUCUCAGCUAGCCUUUAGAUUUGUCUGCUAACAGUAAAAAUACUAUAAUAAAUCGGUAACAUAUGUUGCCAGGCAAGGAAAAGUGAUAUAAAUAAAGAGACUAGGAGACCCAAACCAAGUACAAUGUGAAAAGAAUUUAACUUUCAAUCUAUGCAUUGGCUAAUUAUCAUUUGAAAAGUAAUUUGAAAGUGUUACAGUUAUUUGCUUAUAUUCUUCCUCAUUUUUCUUUUUUUCUCUUCAGAUUGCAUUCUUACCCAAAUACUCUUCGUGAUUGCCUGCUUUGCGGCUUUGGGGUAAGUCCCAGUUUUCCACAACCUUAAAGAAAAAAAAAUGCAUAACAUAAAAGAUGCCAAAAAGACUUAUGUGUCCUGAUGUGCGGGUUUUGUGAAAUAUACAUGGGUUUGUUUUUUUUUGGGGGGGGGUGGCGGGGAACGAUGUUGGUAAUGAAAUAAAGAGAAGGGGUUUGUUUCUGCAAGGAUCAAGAGUGUGUGAAAGUGUGCAUUGCAAACGAGGCUCCCAUCAAGAAAGCCACCUCUGGAAUGGAAAUGACAAAGCUUGGAACACACACAAUCAAUUAUUUUCACUAGCAUUUAAAAUAUAGAAAACAAAAUCUGCUUUGGGAAUUGACUGAAUAUUUUAUUUAGCUUUUUUAUUGAGACAUCCUUUGAAAAAUGGCAUAAUAUAAAUAGUUUUACAAAGCAACAAUAUAAUCAAUCUCUAAACUAGAAUAUAAAUCAAGGAUUUCAUUAACUGCUAGUAGCCAGUUUAAAUUGUAGUCUUGUCCAUAAUGUCUAUCUAUCUAUGUAUGUCCAAGUUAUAUUAAAAACCUUUAAAUGGCUUUGUAAUAUCAGCUACAUCUAGCUAUUAUAAUAAUUAAUGGUACUGUUUUAUAAAUCAAUACAUGUAUUCUUGAUAAAUUCAUAUCCAGUUAAUGGUGUAAUUUAAAUAAAAAAUUAAUGUAAUAAAGGACAUACAGAAACAGGCAGGAAAUCUUUAAAGGUUAAGAGACAAAUUUGUCUAAAUUCAUUUUUAAGCCGUUUUGAAAAAGUUUAUACUUAAAAUCAGCUGAGAUUUACCUUGUUUCUGUAAAACUAAUUUUGCUGUGUCUGUUGGUAUCCAGUAAUGAAUCUGUGCAUUAUUUUCUUUUUUAACUGUUAAGUUUUAAUUACAUACUUAUGAUACUAUGAGAUAUGUUACUACCGUUAUACUCUUUUGCAAUUAUUGAAUAUUCUUUAAAAAAAUAGAACAAAACUAAAAAUCUCAAGCCAGUAAUUUAUUUUUAAUACAUGAAUGAAAUGUAAAUGCUCUCUCUCUAUUUUUUAUAUCUAUAAGCGAACGGUUCUGAGAAUCUCCAAAGCUAUAUACAAAUUUUAUUUAAGGUGAAAAAGGACUGAUUAGCUCAAUAAAUUUGCAUGCGCAAAAGCGCAGCGUUUUUACUGCUUUCACUGAAUGAACAUCCUAGGAAUUUGAGAAAGAAAAGAAAAAUGCUUUGAAGAGUCUGAAAUGUAUUUUAACGCUGCACACGGGUGGAGAAACAUGUUACAAAGAGAAGAGUGUAUUAUUGUUCUGAUUUAAAAAAUACAUACCAAAGGCAUCUUAAGGAAUAACAGGAUCUAGAAAAACAACUGAAUGUUGUAUGUUAUCAAAUACAAUCUUAAAUCUUUCCAAAUAAAAUUUCAUUUGGUUUAUAGAGUAAGCAUUUUACACGAGAUAUCUUUCAGAAUUAUGCAGACCAGUCUGCCCUGCCAUUCUCCGUGACAUGGUGCAGAAAUGUUACUUUAAUCCACUGAGCUUUUUCUGACAUUUUUCUUAACAUUGCUGAGCCUUAUUUAGAGCAGCAAAGGAGAUGUGUGCAGUUUCCUUUGACACUGAUGGGUGUUUCAAAAUGUUACGAGAGAGAGAGAGAGAGAGAGAGAGAGAGAAAGAGACAGAGACAGAGACGGAGAGAGAGCGCGAGAGAGAAAAGAUUUGCUGCCAGUCACUUUAUCAAUAGAGCUACAGGAGCAAUUACUAUUUGUUAAAAGUUUACAUUUCAAAUGAAGCUAAAUUUUAAAGAAGGCUCAUCCUUUUAAAAGCCUGCUGCUUGGAAGAGGGGGGAAGAGAAUGCACGGUAGUGAUCACAUGUUAAAGUGCGCUCAAGUACUGGAACCAUUUAAAAUGUAUUGUGUUUUUAGACGAAGCCUACAGCAAAACCACUCCUAAGAGGCUUAAUUUAGGUUUUAUAGGAGGAACAUAAAAAAGACCAGGUUACAGCAACACGCUGAAAUAUGGGGUACAUUUUAAAUAUCUUCAUUUAAAAACGUAUGUUUAUUUUCCCUCCUGGGAUCACUAACAUGUGUCUCGACAGAGAAAGCAAGGACAUGCUACAUUCUUAAAAAUUAUCUGUUAAAGGGAUCACAUUCCAAGACAGGUUUGAGCAUUUUUAUUACUACCGAUAACCUCUUAAUUAUGUCACUGCCUUCCACUUGUUAAUCAGGGACAUUCAACAUGGUUAACCAGUGAGCGGUUGCCUUUCGUCGACUUCAUUAUUAUUAGGAAUUAAAAACUCAUUCUAUUCCCAUCAUCAUGUUUUUGCAUCUAUGAGUUUAGCACUGCUAGAAACUUACCUGCUUUAAAUACAGAACACCUAAGAAAAGGUCUAGAUGCCCAUAACAAUGUUGUUAAUUACUUCUAGGUGCAGCUCAUGGAAAGCUUUAAGAGAUGGAUAAUUUUACUUUUCCUGUCUUGCCCCCCUCCCCCAACCCCGCUGCCUCCCCCACAUCUCCCACAAUUCCUAUUUGAACCAAUUUUAGGUUCCUUGUGCAGCCACCAGCGCCUGAGAUACUCAGAGACUUUUUUCAGAGAGCACGGUGUAAGUGGAGUAAAUAAAAUCAUGUUUCACUGUUGCUUUAUCAACCCUCCUAGGUAGUUUUCCUGCCAGCCAACCUGCACUGUUAAGACCCAGAAAAUUAUGCAAUAGUGACUUCUUUGAGGUUCUCUAAUCAGAUGAUGGCCAGUGUUAGGAGGGGAAGGGCCCAAGGCAAUGUUGCUGGCACUUAAUGCUGGGCUUGGUCAUUACUUGUCUGGUAGAGACCAAUAAACAGAUGAUUACUAUCCUAUAAGGAGCCAAUAUUUUACAUUUAUCCUAGUUAUAUCUUUUCUUUUCAACGUCUUAUAACAGAAAGUAUUUGUCAAGAUCUAUGAGGAAUAACCUCACAGGCCCCUUAAAAAUAAGAAUUUUCCUAGCGUGAAAUGAUGCUUUUUGUGCAAUGGUGAGAAUGAUUUUGGUUUUUAUAAGAGCAAAGGUUUGAUUACUUUAAAGUAGUUCUCUUUCAGAUGUGGACAGUCCCAGACCCCAUCCCCCACUCUCAUGUCCCCCUCUCUCCUCUAUGACAGGUUCACAGGCUGCAACCAAGGGGUUUUAAAAUGCAAAUAUUUAUAUUGGAGCUCUGGCAAUAACAGAGUCGUUUUGCUUCCUCUGUUAGCCUGUGAUAAUUGAUGCUUCAUACCUGGAACUACGUUUCAUUUAUCUCUUUACACAUGAAGAUAUUACAUAAAUAAAAGAUAAUUUAUGGAAAGGAAACAGCCAUUUGAAAUAAUAAUCCUAAAUUUCAUUGUAUAAUCUUGAAAGGCUUUAAGAGUCAAAGAUGCAGAUUUCUACAGUUUUAAAGAAAACUUGAUCGCACCUGGGAAAUUUGUGCAUUUUUGCACACUUACUGAAUUUGAAUGCCUGCGUGGAUCAAAAACAAAAAAGAGGGAUAAAAGGAAGGCAGGAGAGAAAAGGUGUGGAUUUCACAUGUGCUUUAAACUAAUGCAUUCGCCCACACGUCCACAGACUUCUUGUUACAAUUUUAUUGACUUUUUCUUUAUAUCCGAAAAUAAUUUCUAAAUAGCUAAUGCAAAUUGCAAAAUAGUGAGUCUUCUGAAGGGCCUUCUCUUCCCGGGGAUCCUCAUCUUAGAAUGAACAGAGGUAUUCCCAGAACCGGACCCUGAUCUCACAACCUCAUACAAAGCCAGGCAAUUCUUGAGCCAAACAAACAAAGGGUGUGUAAGCGAUUUCAUUUAUUUUGAUAAUCCUCCUCUUGCACAGGAGCAUCUUGCUGUCUUUGUCAAAGUGAAUGACAACAAUUUGGCUAACUCUCUCUGAGCUGCGCUCAACAGUGACAGGCAAAUUAUCAGAGGCCCUGCACUUCUUAU